UACGUAGGGUGCGAGCGUUGUCCGGAAUUAUUGGGCGUAAAGAGCUCGUAGGCGGUCUGUCGCGUCGAAUGUGAAAACCCGGGGCUCAACUCCGGGCUUGCAUUCGAUACGGGCAGGCUAGAGUUCGGUAGGGGAGUCUGGAAUUCCUGGUGUAGCGGUGAAAUGCGCAGAUAUCAGGAGGAACACCGGUGUCGAAGGCGGGACUCUGGGCCGAUACUGACGCUGAGGAGCGAAAGCGUGGGGAGCGAACAGG
rnacentral:rRNA from 1 species